AGCUGAUCUUGGAUAGGGAGCGGGCACGCACCAUCCCAUACUGCCCAUCGUCUGAGGACCAUCGCUUUAGCUCAGGUUAUAUUACAAAAUGUCGGUUUGGCGUGAGAUUACUGUUGUUUUAGUAUUGUAAUGCCAUUACAUCGCAAACUAACCAGCUCUGAUUUAAUGUCUGUGUUUGUGUGGGAGUGUGUGUGUGCUUGUUGCUUACCAGGGCGCAUGUUGUACCUAUCCAGGCUCUUCCUACGGUUCAUGCGGUGUUGUUGUUGCUGCAUGGAAUCCAUGAACUCCAUGUCACCCCGGUGACCACCACCUCGCUCCUCCUGGAUCUGCUGAUUGUCGACGAGAGUGAGUGCGAGAGUGGGGUGGAAAAUACUCUUCUAUAUCCACAUCCAAGUCCAUGGGAUGAACAGAGAGCAGGCGCUUGUUCUUUCGCAUCUGACAGAACAACAGGAUGGAGACAUAAAGAGAAGUGGGGAGAGAGGGAGAAGAAGGGGUGACUUCUUUUCUUCUCAAAUUGUGUAACCC